rnacentral:rRNA from 1 species
UACGUAGGGUCCGAGCGUUGUCCGGAAUUAUUGGGCGUAAAGGGCUCGUAGGCGGUUCGUCACGUCGGGAGUGAAAACUCGGAGCUUAACUCCGAGCCUGCUUCCGAUACGGGCAGACUAGAGGUAGGCAGGGGAGAGCGGAACUCCUGGUGUAGCGGUGGAAUGCGCAGAUAUCAGGAGGAACACCGGUGGCGAAGGCGGGUCUCUGGGCCGAGAUUGACGCUGAGGAGCGAAAGCGUGGGGAGCGAACAGG